UCCCUAAUGACUCAGUUGGUAAAGAACCUGCCUGCAAUGCAGGAGACAUGGGUUCGAUCCCCAGUGUGGGAA
rfam:TPA: Bos taurus chromosome 21, whole genome shotgun sequence.